AAUAGCCUAACGGCUGAACCAGCAAUUUGCGAGAACGAUUAAAGAGGUUAACCCUCAUAAAGUUCUAGAUAUUAAUUGAUAAUGACAGUUUUUAUCUAUAGGUCUUGACAAAAACACGUGCCAGCAGUCGCGGUAAGACGUGAAAGACUAGUGUUAUUCAUCUUUAAUGGGUUUAAAGGGUACCUAGACGGCCAAUAUAGUCUCCUCACUAAGAUACGUAUUGAGCUAGAGUUUUAUGCAAAAGGAUAUAUGGUAUUAGCGGAGUAGAGAUAGAAUUUGUUGAUACUGCUAAGAACGGGUAACGGCGAAGGCAAUCCUUUAAGUAAAAACUGACGUUGAGGGACGAAGGCCUGGGUAACAAAUAGGAUUAGAUACCCUAAUAGUCCAGGCAGACAAUGCUGAGUGUCAUAGGUUAGGUAACUACUUAAUCUAUAAACGAAAGUGUAAGCACUCCACCUCAAGAGUAAUGCGGCAACGCAGGAACUGAAAUCAUUAGACCGUUUCUGAAAUCAGUAGUGAAGUAUGUUAUUUAAUUUGAUAAUCCGCAAAAAACCUUACCACAGCUUGAACAUAUUGGUGCAUUGCACCAAUUACAGGUGCUGCAUGGCUGUCUUCAGUUAAUGUCGUGAGACGCAGGUUAGCUCCAUAAAAUUAACGAAAACCCUUACUUUAUUUAUUAUUAUAAAGUAGUUCUCCGAUAUAUUGGAUUAGAUAAAAGGGACAAAGACAAGUAAUCACGGCCCUAAUGCUGUGGGCUAUAGACGUGCCACAUUUGCUUAUACAAAGGGAUGCUUAUAUGUAAAUACUAAAACUAAUCCCUCAAACUAGGCUAAAAUAU
rnacentral:rRNA from 1 species